GACGAACGCUGGCGGCGUGCUUAACACAUGCAAGUCGAACGCUGAAGCCCUUUCGGGGGUGGAUGAGUGGCGAACGGGUGAGUAACACGUGGGUAAUCUGCCCAGUACUUCGGGAUAAGCCUUGGAAACGGGGUCUAAUACCGGAUAGGACCUGUCCUCGCAUGGGGGUGGGUGGAAAGUUCCGGCGGUAUGGGAUGAGCCCGCGGCCUAUCAGCUUGUUGGUGGGGUAGUGGCCUACCAAGGCGACGACGGGUAGCCGGCCUGAGAGGGUGACCGGUCACACUGGGACUGAGACACGGCCCAGACUCCUACGGGAGGAAGCAGUGGGGAAUCUUGCGCAAUGGGCGAAAGCCUGACGCAGCAACGCCGCGUGGGGGAUGACGGCCUUCGGGUUGUAAACCUCUUUCGACAUCGACGAAGGGGCCCUGUUGUGGGGUUUUGACGGUAGGUGUAGAAGAAGCACCGGCUAACUACGUGCCAGCAGCCGCCGUAA
rnacentral:rRNA from 1 species